rnacentral:rRNA from 1 species
AAAUAAAUUAAAUAUUUAAUGUUCUCGAAUUAAGAAGAGCUAUGAUUAUAUAUAUAUAAUUGUUGUAAAAAUUUUUAUAAUAUAGUUAUAGAUGUGAGAUGUUAGUCGUUUUUUAAUAUAUCUAGUUUCUUAAGAAAUAAAUUUAAUUUAGUUUUUUAGUUAGAUAGUAUUGAUUUUUAUAGUAUUAUUUAUUAAAAAUAUAAUAUUUUAAGGGAUAAGCUUUAAAAUAUAGGCUUAUAAAUAAUUUUUUAUUAUAAAAAAUAAGUAGGAUUGGAAAUGUUUAUUAGUUAGUUUGUUAUAAUUAAUUUUUUAUAAAAUAAGAUUUAUAUUGUUUUUAAGUUAUUUAUUAAGAUUAUUAAUUUAAUUUAAAUUUUUAUAUAAUAAUGAUAAAAUUAGUAUAUUUUUAAUGUAUUGAGUAUGUGAAUAUAAAGGUUAAAUUAAGGAACUCGGCAAAUAUGUUUUUCGCCUGUUUAUUAAAAACAUGUCUUUUUGAUUAUAAUUUAAGGUCUGACCUGCCCAAUGAGUAGUUAAAUGGCCGCGGUAAUUUGACCGUGCAAAGGUAGCAUAAUCAUUAGUUUUUUAAUUGAAAGCUGGAAUGAAUGGUUGGACGAGAAAACAUCUGUCUCAAUUUAAUUGUAUUUAGAAUUUUAUCUAUAAGUUAAAAAGCUUAUAUGAAUUUAAAAGACGAGAAGACCCUAUAGAAUUUAAUAUUUUUAUAUAUUAUAAAUUUUUAGAAUUUAAAAUUUUGUAUAUAUAAAAGUAUUUAGUUGGGGUGAUUGAAAAAUUAAAGUAACUUUUUUUAUAUUUUAUCAUUAAUUAAUGAUUAGAUGAUCCGUUUUUAACGAUUAAAAGAUUAAAUUACCUUAGGGAUAACAGCGUAAUUUUUUUUUAGAGUUCAUAUCGAAAAGAAAGUUUGCGACCUCGAUGUUGGAUUAAAAUUAACUUUUGGUGUAGGGGCUAAAAGGUUAGGUCUGUUCGUCCUUUAAAAU